UCGAUUCCCUUAGUAGCGGCGAGCGAAACGGGAAGAGCCCAAACCAACAAGCUUGCUUGUUGGGGUUGUAGGACACUCUAUACGGAGUUACAAAGGACGACAUUAGACGAAUCAUCUGGAAAGAUGAAUCAAAGAAGGUAAUAAUCCUGUAGUCGAAAAUGUUGUCUCUCUUGAGUGGAUCCUGAGUACGACGGAGCACGUGAAAUUCCGUCGGAAUCUGGGAGGACCAUCUCCUAAGGCUAAAUACUCUCUAGUGACCGAUAGUGAACCAGUACCGUGAGGGAAAGGUGAAAAGCACCCCGGAAGGGGAGUGAAAUA
rnacentral:rRNA from 1 species